rnacentral:rRNA from 1 species
GACGAACGCUGGCGGCGUGCUUAACACAUGCAAGUCGAACGGAAAGGCCUCUUUCGGGGGGUACUCGAGUGGCGAACGGGUGAGUAACACGUGAGUAACCUGCCCUUGACUUUGGGAUAACUUCAGGAAACUGGGGCUAAUACCGGAUAGGAGCUCCUGCUGCAUGGUGGGGGUUGGAAAGUUUCGGCGGUUGGGGAUGGACUCGCGGCUUAUCAGCUUGUUGGUGGGGUAGUGGCUUACCAAGGCUUUGACGGGUAGCCGGCCUGAGAGGGUGACCGGCCACAUUGGGACUGAGAUACGGCCCAGACGCCUACGGGAGGCAGCAGUGGGGAAUAUUGCACAAUGGGUGGAAGCCUGAUGCAGCAACGCCGUGUGCGGGAUGACGGCCUUCGGGUUGUAAACCGCUUUCGCUCAUGACGAAGCUUUGUGUGACGGUAGUGAGUAAAGAAGCACCGGCUAACUACGUG